rnacentral:rRNA from 1 species
GGGUUGUGAGGUUAAGCGACUAAGCGUACACGGUGGAUGCCCUGGCAGUCAGAGGCGAUGAAGGACGUGCUAAUCUGCGAUAAGCGUCGGUGAGGUGAUAUGAACCGUUAUAACCGGCGAUUUCCGAAUGGGGAAACCCAGUGUGUUUCGACACACUAUCAUUAACUGAAUCCAUAGGUUAAUGAGGCGAACCGGGGGAACUGAAACAUCUAAGUACCCCGAGGAAAAGAAAUCAACCGAGAUUCCCCCAGUAGCGGCGAGCGAACGGGGAGGAGCCCAGAGCCUGAAUCAGUGUGUGUGUUAGUGGAAGCGUCUGGAAAGGCGCGCGAUACAGGGUGACAGCCCCGUACACAAAAAUGCACAUAUUGUGAGCUCGAUGAGUAGGGCGGGACACGUGGUAUCCUGUCUGAAUAUGGGGGGACCAUCCUCCAAGGCUAAAUACUCCUGACUGACCGAUAGUGAACCAGUACCGUGAGGGAAAGGCGAAAAGAACCCCGGCGAGGGGAGUGAAAAAGAACCUGAAACCGUGUACGUACAAGCAGUGGGAGCCUCUUUAUGGGGUGACUGCGUACCUUUUGUAUAAUGGGUCAGCGACUUAUAUUCUGUAGCAAGGUUAACCGAAUAGGGGAGCCGAAGGGAAACCGAGUCUUAACUGGGCGUUAAGUUGCAGGGUAUAGACCCGAAACCCGGUGAUCUAGCCAUGGGCAGGUUGAAGGUUGGGUAACACUAACUGGAGGACCGAACCGACUAAUGUUGAAAAAUUAGCGGAUGACUUGUGGCUGGGGGUGAAAGGCCAAUCAAACCGGGAGAUAGCUGGUUCUCCCCGAAAGCUAUUUAGGUAGCGCCUCGUGAAUUCAUCUCCGGGGGUAGAGCACUGUUUCGGCAAGGGGGUCAUCCCGACUUACCAACCCGAUGCAAACUGCGAAUACCGGAGAAUGUUAUCACGGGAGACACACGGCGGGUGCUAACGUCCGUCGUGAAGAGGGAAACAACCCAGACCGCCAGCUAAGGUCCCAAAGUCAUGGUUAAGUGGGAAACGAUGUGGGAAGGCCCAGACAGCCAGGAUGUUGGCUUAGAAGCAGCCAUCAUUUAAAGAAAGCGUAAUAGCUCACUGGUCGAGUCGGCCUGCGCGGAAGAUGUAACGGGGCUAAACCAUGCACCGAAGCUGCGGCAGCGACACUAUGUGUUGUUGGGUAGGGGAGCGUUCUGUAAGCCUGUGAAGGUGGCCUGUGAGGGUUGCUGGAGGUAUCAGAAGUGCGAAUGCUGACAUAAGUAACGAUAAAGCGGGUGAAAAGCCCGCUCGCCGGAAGACCAAGGGUUCCUGUCCAACGUUAAUCGGGGCAGGGUGAGUCGACCCCUAAGGCGAGGCCGAAAGGCGUAGUCGAUGGGAAACAGGUUAAUAUUCCUGUACUUGGUGUUACUGCGAAGGGGGGACGGAGAAGGCUAUGUUGGCCGGGCGACGGUUGUCCCGGUUUAAGCGUGUAGGCUGGUUUUCCAGGCAAAUCCGGAAAACCAAGGCUGAGGCGUGAUGACGAGGCACUACGGUGCUGAAGCGACAAAUGCCCUGCUUCCAGGAAAAGCCUCUAAGCAUCAGGUAACAUCAAAUCGUACCCCAAACCGACACAGGUGGUCAGGUAGAGAAUACCAAGGCGCUUGAGAGAACUCGGGUGAAGGAACUAGGCAAAAUGGUGCCGUAACUUCGGGAGAAGGCACGCUGAUAUGUAGGUGAAGCGACUUGCUCGUGGAGCUGAAAUCAGUCGAAGAUACCAGCUGGCUGCAACUGUUUAUUAAAAACACAGCACUGUGCAAACACGAAAGUGGACGUAUACGGUGUGACGCCUGCCCGGUGCCGGAAGGUUAAUUGAUGGGGUUAGCGGCAACGCGAAGCUCUUGAUCGAAGCCCCGGUAAACGGCGGCCGUAACUAUAACGGUCCUAAGGUAGCGAAAUUCCUUGUCGGGUAAGUUCCGACCUGCACGAAUGGCGUAAUGAUGGCCAGGCUGUCUCCACCCGAGACUCAGUGAAAUUGAACUCGCUGUGAAGAUGCAGUGUACCCGCGGCAAGACGGAAAGACCCCGUGAACCUUUACUAUAGCUUGACACUGAACAUUGAGCCUUGAUGUGUAGGAUAGGUGGGAGGCUUUGAAGUGUGGACGCCAGUCUGCAUGGAGCCGACCUUGAAAUACCACCCUUUAAUGUUUGAUGUUCUAACGUUGGCCCGUAAUCCGGGUUGCGGACAGUGUCUGGUGGGUAGUUUGACUGGGGCGGUCUCCUCCUAAAGAGUAACGGAGGAGCACGAAGGUUGGCUAAUCCUGGUCGGACAUCAGGAGGUUAGUGCAAUGGCAUAAGCCAGCUUGACUGCGAGCGUGACGGCGCGAGCAGGUGCGAAAGCAGGUCAUAGUGAUCCGGUGGUUCUGAAUGGAAGGGCCAUCGCUCAACGGAUAAAAGGUACUCCGGGGAUAACAGGCUGAUACCGCCCAAGAGUUCAUAUCGACGGCGGUGUUUGGCACCUCGAUGUCGGCUCAUCACAUCCUGGGGCUGAAGUAGGUCCCAAGGGUAUGGCUGUUCGCCAUUUAAAGUGGUACGCGAGCUGGGUUUAGAACGUCGUGAGACAGUUCGGUCCCUAUCUGCCGUGGGCGCUGGAGAACUGAGGGGGGCUGCUCCUAGUACGAGAGGACCGGAGUGGACGCAUCACUGGUGUUCGGGUUGUCAUGCCAAUGGCACUGCCCGGUAGCUAAAUGCGGAAGAGAUAAGUGCUGAAAGCAUCUAAGCACGAAACUUGCCCCGAGAUGAGUUCUCCCUGAGACUUAGAGUCUCCUGAAGGAACGUUGAAGACGACGACGUUGAUAGGCCGGGUGUGUAAGCGCAGCGAUGCGUUGAGCUAACCGGUACUAAUGAACCGUGAGGCUUAACCUUACAACGCCGAAGCUGUU